UUUGUGGAAGUACUGCCAUUAUCCUGCUGAAAGAAAAGCCGUGUUAAUUAUUUUUGAUUUUGCCUUUGUGAGGGUAAAAUCAUGACAGAUUGACAUGGACAGUUCUGGGAUUGCUGUUUCCCUGCACUAGACGUGAAUGGAGGAGUUGAUCAAUUGUAAAGAUCAUGCGAGGCCAGGUACAACUCCAAAAGGAGACAUUGGAGAAGAACCAAGCUGGGUCUGUAAGGAAUUGCACAUGAGAUGGCACACAUAUUUAUGCUGUCUGAAGGUCACGAUCAUGUUACCAUAUCAAGCUGAAAAUGUCACCACUAUCUGGAGAUUUCGACGUGUUUCCUCUCUGAAUCUCUUAUGAACACGUUGGUUGGCUGGGUUCAGUAAUAAAUAUGUGAGGCCUUUCGUUUUAA
rnacentral:sRNA from 1 species